ACCACUUCAGUAAGACGUAUGUGGUUAGAAUCUUCGACUCUGAAAGUCUUUAGAAAAUGUACUUCCUUGUGAAGAAACAUAGCUCUUUAACAAUUUGGAAAGCUGACAAAGAGGCGAACCGGGGGAACUGAAACAUCUAAGUACCCCGAGGAAAAGAAAUCAACCGAGAUUCCGAAAGUAGCGGCGAGCGAAAUUGGACUAGCCCUUAAGCUUUACACGCGUUAGACGAACGGUCUGGAAAGUCCGACGAUACAGGGUGAUAGUCCCGUAGUUGACGACGUGUGUUCAGUGAAAUCGAGUAGGGCGGGACACGUGAUAUCCUGUCUGAAUAUGGGGGGACCAUCCUCCAAGGCUAAAUACUACUGACUGACCGAUAGUGAACCAGUACCGUGAGGGAAAGGCGAAAAGAACCCCUGUGAGGGGAGUGAAAUAGAACCUGAAACCGUGUACGUACAAGCAGUAGGAGCAGGCUUGUCCUGUGACUGCGUACCUUUUGUAUAAUGGGUCAGCGACUUAUAUUCAGUGGCAAGGUUAACCAUCUAGGGGAGCCGUAGGGAAACCGAGUCUUAACUGGGCGUUCAGUCUCUGGAUAUAGACCCGAAACCAGGUGAUCUAGCCAUGGGCAGGUUGAAGGUUGAGUAACAUCAACUGGAGGACCGAACCGACUAAUGUUGAAAAAUUAGCGGAUGACUUGUGGCUAGGGGUGAAAGGCCAAUCAAACCUGGAGAUAGCUGGUUCUCCCCGAAAGCUAUUUAGGUAGCGCCUCGGACGAAUACUACUGGGGGUAGAGCACUGUUAAGGCUAGGGGGUCAUCCCGACUUACCAACCCUUUGCAAACUCCGAAUACCAGUAAGUACUAUCCGGGAGACACACGGCGGGUGCUAACGUCCGUCGUGGAGAGGGAAACAACCCAGACCGCCAGCUAAGGUCCCAAAUUACUACUAAGUGGGAAACGAUGUGGGAAGGCUCAGACAGCCAGGAUGUUGGCUUAGAAGCAGCCAUCAUUUAAAGAAAGCGUAAUAGCUCACUGGUCGAGUCGGCCUGCGCGGAAGAUGUAACGGGGCUAAGUAGUAAACCGAAGCUGCGGCAAURURCUUUUGYAYAUUGGGUAGGGGAGCGUUCUGUAAGCGGUUGAAGGUGUGUGGUAACGCAUGCUGGACGUAUCAGAAGUGCGAAUGCUGACAUGAGUAACGAUAAAGGGGGUGAAAAACCUCCUCGCCGGAAGACCAAGGGUUCCUGUCCAACGUUAAUCGGGGCAGGGUAAGUCGACCCCUAAGGCGAGGCCGAAAGGCGUAGUCGAUGGGAAACGGGUUAAUAUUCCCGUACUUCUUACAAUUGCGAUGGGGGGACGGAGAAGGCUAGGUGGGCCUGGCGACGGUUGUCCAGGUUCAAGUGCGUAGGCUUAAGAGUUAGGUAAAUCCGGCUCUUUUUAAGGCUGAGACACGACGUCGAGCUACUACGGUAGUGAAGUCAUUGAUGCCAUGCUUCCAGGAAAAGCCUCUAAGCUUCAGAUUGUAAGGAAUCGUACCCCAAACCGACACAGGUGGUCGGGUAGAGAAUACCAAGGCGCUUGAGAGAACUCGGGUGAAGGAACUAGGCAAAAUGGUACCGUAACUUCGGGAGAAGGUACGCUCUYGAYGGUGAAGUCCCUCGCGGAUGGAGCURWYGAGAGUCGCAGAUACCAGGUGGCUGCAACUGUUUAUUAAAAACACAGCACUGUGCAAAAUCGUAAGAUGACGUAUACGGUGUGACGCCUGCCCGGUGCCGGAAGGUUAAUUGAUGGGGUUAGACUUCGGUCGAAGCUCUUGAUCGAAGCCCCGGUAAACGGCGGCCGUAACUAUAACGGUCCUAAGGUAGCGAAAUUCCUUGUCGGGUAAGUUCCGACCUGCACGAAUGGCGUAAUGAUGGCCACGCUGUCUCCACCCGAGACUCAGUGAAAUUGAAAUCGCUGUGAAGAUGCAGUGUACCCGCGGCUAGACGGAAAGACCCCGUGAACCUUUACUACAGCUUGGCACUGAACAUUGACCCUACAUGUGUAGGAUAGGUGGGAGGCUUUGAAGCACGUACGCCAGUAUGUGUGGAGCCGUCCUUGAAAUACCACCCUUGUAGUGUUGAUGUUCUAACGUCGACCCCUUAUCGGGGUUGCGGACAGUGCCUGGUGGGUAGUUUGACUGGGGCGGUCUCCUCCCAAAGAGUAACGGAGGAGCACGAAGGUGGGCUAAUCACGGUUGGACAUCGUGAGGUUAGUGCAAUGGCAUAAGCCCGCUUGACUGCGAGAAUGACAAUUCGAGCAGGUGCGAAAGCAGGUCAUAGUGAUCCGGUGGUUCUGAAUGGAAGGGCCAUCGCUCAACGGAUAAAAGGUACUCCGGGGAUAACAGGCUGAUACCGCCCAAGAGUUCAUAUCGACGGCGGUGUUUGGCACCUCGAUGUCGGCUCAUCACAUCCUGGGGCUGAAGUCGGUCCCAAGGGUAUGGCUGUUCGCCAUUUAAAGUGGUACGCGAGCUGGGUUUAGAACGUCGUGAGACAGUUCGGUCCCCCUGAUACUUUAAGUAUCCUAAAGGGUUGUCGGAGACUACGACGUUGAUAGGUCAGGUGUGUAAGUGCUGUGAGGCAUUGAGCUAACUGAUACUAAUUGCCCGUGAGGCUUAACCAUACAACACCCAAGGGGUUUUGAUGGACUCAAACUAGAACAUUGAAUGUGUAAGAACGAAAACAGCUUUCCAGAUUUAGGAAUUGAAUUUAUUAACUACAUCCAUGUAGUUAACCCUUCGGGCCGCACUGACGUGCGUUAAAUU
rnacentral:rRNA from 1 species